rnacentral:rRNA from 1 species
AAUAUUGCACAAUGGGCGAAAGCCUGAUGCAGCGACGCCGCGUGAGGGAUGACGGCCUUCGGGUUGUAAACCUCUUUCAGCAGGGAAGAAGCGAAAGUGACGGUACCUGCAGAAGAAGCGCCGGCUAACUACGUGCCAGCAGCCGCGGUAAUACGUAGGGUCCGAGCGUUGUCCGGAAUUACUGGGCGUAAAGGGCGCGUAGGCGGUCUGUCAAGUUAGGUGUGAAAGCCCUGGGCUCAACCCAGGAACUGCAUUUAAGACUGGCAGGCUAGAGAUCUAGAGGGGAUAGUGGAAUUCCAAGUGUAGAGGUGAAAUUCGUAGAUAUUUGGAGGAACACCAGUGGCGAAGGCGACUAUCUGGCUAGAAUCUGACGCUGAGGCGCGAUAGCGUGGGGAGCAAAC